UACGAAAAAAACAAACGUUGUUCGGAAUUAUUGAACGUAAAGAACGCAUAGGCGGUUGGAUAAGUCUUAUGUGAAAUCUUCAAGCUCAACUCGAAGUCUGCACGAGAAACUAUCUGACUUGAAUGUAAAAAAGGUGAGUGGAAUUCCUGGUGUAGCGGUGGAAUGCGCAGAUAUCAGGAGGAACACCAAUAGCGAAGGCAGCUCGCUGGGACGUUACUGACACUGAGGCGCGAAAGCGUGGGGAGCGAACAGG
rnacentral:rRNA from 1 species